rnacentral:misc_RNA from 1 species
GGACUACUAGGGUAUCUAAUCCUGUUUGCUCCCCACGCUUUCGUGCAUGAGCGUCAGUAUCAUCCCAGGGGGCUGCCUUCGCCAUCGGUGUUCCUCCGCAUAUCUACGCAUUUCACUGCUACACGCGGAAUUCCACCCCCCUCUGACAUACUCUAGCUCGGGAGUUAAAAGUGCAGUUCCAAGGUUAAGCCCUGGGAUUUCACACCUCUCUUUCCGAACCGCCUGCGCACGCUUUACGCCCAGUAAUUCCGAUUAACGCUUGCACCCUACGUAUUACCGCGGCGGCUGGCAC